AUUUUGUACACGAGUCUCCCUCAUCUGAUUUUGCAUGAACUGCAAAAAUCUUCUAAACAUUCCGUCGUUCAUCGUCUGAUCAGUGGUGUUGUUUACAGGAGGAACAUUGCCGGCCUGUUGCACAUUCUCCUCAUUGGUGAGUAAAGGUGUCUCCACGGUCUCAUUUGCUCCACUGUUAACAUUCUCAGUUGCCAUUCUCAAAUACUGUCAUAAAACAAGGGUUAGUUAAAGAAAUUAAC
rnacentral:lncRNA from 1 species